rnacentral:rRNA from 1 species
GAUGAACGCUGGCGGCGUGCUUAACACAUGCAAGUCGAACGAACCUUCGGGUUAGUGGCGGACGGGUGAGUAACGCGUGAGAAUCUGCCCUCAGGAGGGGGAUAACGGUUGGAAACGACCGCUAAUACCCCAUAUGCCUAUUGGUGAAAUGAAUUUCGCCUGAGGAUGAGCUCGCGUCUGAUUAGCUAGUUGGUGAGGUAACGGCUCACCAAGGCUUCGAUCAGUAGCUGGUCUGAGAGGAUGAUCAGCCACACUGGGACUGAGACGCGGCCCAGACUCCUACGGGAGGCAGCAGUGGGGAAUUUUCCGCAAUGGGCGAAAGCCUGACGGAGCAACGCCGCGUGAGGGACGAAGGCCUCUGGGCUGUAAACCUCUUUUCUCAAGGAAGAAGAUAUGACGGUACUUGAGGAAUAAGCCACGGCUAAUUCCGUGCCAGCAGCCGCGGUAAUACGGGAGUGGCAAGCGUUAUCCGGAAUUAUUGGGCGUAAAGCGUCCGCAGGCGGCUUUUCAAGUCUGCUGUUAAAGCGUGGAGCUUAACUCCAUCAUGGCAGUGGAAACUGAAAGGCUUGAGUAUGGUAGGGGCAGAGGGAAUUCCCGGUGUAGCGGUGAAAUGCGUAGAUAUCGGGAAGAACACCAGUGGCGAAGGCGCUCUGCUGGGCCAUUACUGACGCUCAUGGACGAAAGCCAGGGGAGCGAAAGGGAUUAGAUACCCCUGUAGUCCUGGCCGUAAACGAUGAACACUAGGUGUCGGGGGAAUCGACCCCUUCGGUGUCGUAGCUAACGCGUCAAGUGUUCCGCCUGGGGAGUACGCACGCAGUGUGAAACUCAAAGGAAUUGACGGGGCCCGCACAGCGGUGGAGUA